CAUUAGCAGGCCUAGUGGAUGGGGUGAUUGACUGGUGAUCAAAAGGUCGCUGGUUUGAUCCCCAGCUUGACUA